GGGCUGGCAGCGGCCGGCGGCGGAGGGCAGCGCGCUCCCGGCUCCCCCUCUCCCAGCGCACCCUCCGCGAAGGCCGGGCGGGGAGUAGGCGGGCUCCGGGGCUAGAUGGGAGCGGAGGCUUGAGCGUGGCAGAGGAAGGCCCGCGGGAGCGAGCGGCGGACACCCCGCCGGGCAGGGGAGCGUGAGAGCCCUCCCUGGAUCUGAAGGAAGUAUGUUCCGGUUCAUGAGGGAUGGAGAACCAGAGGACCCCAUGUUUACAAUGGACCCGUUUGCUAUUCACCGUCAGCACAUGAACCGCAUGCUUUCUGGAGGCUUUCCAUACAGCCCCUUCCUCAGCAUAACUGAUGGGACCAUGCCUGGGGCACGUCAGGCCAGCCGCAGGAUGCAGGCAGGAGCCAUCUCACCCUUUGGAAUGUUGGGAAUGGCAGGUGGCUUCAUGGACAUGUUUGGAAUGAUGAACGAUAUGAUUGGAAACGUGGAGCACAUGACAAGUGGUGCCAACUGCCAAACAUUUUCUUCCUCAACUGUCAUCUCCUAUUCCAACUUGGGUGAUGGCCCCAAAGUCUAUCAUGAGACCUCGGAGACGCGCUCUGCACCUGGCGGGAUCCGUGAAACAAGACGGACUGUGCGGGACUCAAACAGUGGCCUGGAGCAGAUGUCAAUUGGGCACCACAUCCGGGAGAGAGCCCACAUCAUGCAGCGCUCACGGAACCAUCGCACGGGUGACCAGGAGGAGAGGCAGGAGUACAUCAACCUGGAUGAGAGUGAUGCAGCUGCGUUUGAUGAUGAGUGGAGGCGAGAGACAUCCCGGUUCCGGCCACAGCGAGGACUGGGUUAUCGGCGUCACGAGAGCAGCAGUGGUCGUCGGUCUGAGGGGACACAUCUUGCUAUCCAGGGCCCUGAGGAUUCCCCAUCCAGACAGGCCCGCCGAUAUGACUGGUGAAUCCGGAGCAGACUUUGGGGGGGGGUGCAGCAUGGUCACCCCCAAAUCCACCUACUCUCUCUUGUACAGACAGUGAAACUCUGAUGACAAAGCACUGCUUGGAAUCUUCUCAAAUUUAAUAUUAACCCCCACCCUCUAAGAACUGAAUAAAGUGAUUAACCCUCCACACUGCUCUCCUUCUCACCCAGUGCGGGGGCUACAGGGUGCUUUGGGGACCUCAUUGGUGUACGAAGGACACAUUUAUUAUCCUGCCUCAAUUUCCCCCUCCAGCUCUUCCUCCUCUUUUUCCAGUCACACUUGGCUCAGUUCCCUUUGCUAGUAUUUGUGGACACAAGGGUCAUCACCCUGUCCUUCCUGUCCCUUCCAGCUCUCUUGAGCGUGGUUGGGCUGGUUCUGGAGUGGUAUUUGGUCCCUUCUGAAAUGAUCAUAUAGAAGAAUUUCUUGCCCCAUUGUUAAUCCCCCUCACUGGGACAAAAGCCCCCACUCCCUCUCUUGCUUUCUGGUAUGGUGAGGUGGAAGGAUGUGUGUUUGGGAGGGGGAAAAGAACAAGAACUGAACCAGCCUGUAUCUCCCUGCCCAUGUAGCCCCAUUUGCAGUCAACUCUCCCCUUUUUUAAUUUGAUUUGUGAAACUUGUAUUUAGGUGUUUACUGAAUAAAGGAACAAGAACUGUAAAGAAAA